GUCACUUCCUGUGUCUGGGAUAGCCCAUGUUUGAACUGGUGGAGAACCAAUAUAGAUUCUCAUAAGGUACUCACCUUCACCUUCAAAGAAAAUUGGGGGAAGGAUAUCAGUAUGAAGGUGUUGAUGUAGAAGUUUUUGAUGAUGA